rnacentral:rRNA from 1 species
CGCGUAGGCGGGCUGUUAAGUCGGGGGUGAAAUCCCGGGGCUCAACCCCGGAACUGCCCUCGAUACUGGCAGCCUAGAGGAUGAGAGAGGCGAGUGGAAUUCCGAGUGUAGAGGUGAAAUUCGUAGAUAUUCGGAGGAACACCAGUGGCGAAGGCGGCUCGCUGGCUCAUUUCUGACGCUGAGGUGCGAAAGCGUGGGGAGCAAACA